CUGUAGUCUCUCAAGACAGCCUUUACCAAAUCCAUACUGAGGAAACUUGUAGGGGUAACAGAACUGAAGGCCUGCAGUCCGCCUCUCUAAUUCCAUCUCUGCCCGGUAGAAAUUUUCUAUUUCCUCUUUUCACCCAAACAAAGGCAUAAAACACAUCAGGCUUUAGACGUUUGGUGCAUGUAAAUCACUGACUCCCUUGAAGCAUGUUCCAGGAGCAAUAUAAAAAUGACAGCAUUUGUCCCUAUCCCAAAAAGUGAGAACAACUGGUUCCUAACAGGAAUUACACUUUUCUCUGCUCCUGCAAUUUUGGUAGAAACAUCAAAGGUAAGACAAUCCAAACAAGACAGUGACGUGAUUCUAUCAAGUCUAACAUGAUACUUGUACUAAUAUCCAUUUUAAAAAAGAAAAGUUCCAAAAUGCAGAUCAAUUUCUUUGUCACUUUUGUCCUCCAAAUUGACUUAACACCUAAAUUGUUACAGUAAGUUCAAUUUUCUACCAGAAUUUUAGCAGCUCUGACACCACAGAAGAGAAUGACUUCUGCAGAAAACCCUCUUUUGGGAAACAACUGUUCUUAAGCAAUCCCUAGCAGCUAUAUCACUGCAUUUAGACAUUCAGCUUUUCUAAAACUGAUUUUCUAUGCUAAUAUGGUGAGUAUUUAAAAAAACACCAAAAACCUCCUUGAUUCUCCACAACAAAUACUUCAGUCAUAUUCCUCUUCCUCAUCUUCAUUCAAUCCUCAUAGCACUGCCAGCAUUCCUUAUUUCUUCUGCUCUGAGGUUAAAUAAUCUCAGCAGGCGAAGUGUUUUUCUAUUGGAAAAUCAUCUAUUUUAUGGUUGUUUUCUAUGGACUCCUACAAAUGACAUAUGCCAGAAAGAGAAGCUUAUUUCCCCUGGGUAAGAACAAAUGAGUAACAGCUCAUAUAGAGCCAACUCCUUGGUUACUCAUGGCAGGUCAUUCAGUUACAAAUUAGCUAUGUCAUGCACAUAAAAACACCUGAGCUAGCUCCUUGCAAAACAAUUUUUUCAAUAAAUUGAUAUUGGUACAGCUUCUUCUGCAAACUGCACAGGUGGGUCUAAAAGAAAGGGCAAAAGGAAACAGCUAGAGACAAAAGAAUGAAGAAAGCAAGUCAAAACGCCAAGGGACUGGUUCUAUUUGUUAGUUUCCACAUACAAAAAUGGAUUGUUUUCAAAGGUUAUUUUCAUGUUUUAAACAAUUGGGGAAUGGUCAUAUUCAAAUCACUUAAGCACAUGCAGAUCAUUUGAGGACAGUGAGUUGUUAUUUGGUGUGGCAAUUAAAUUAUUUCCAUUUUCAGUUAACUCCCAGUGAAGUUCAAGGGAGUCUGAAGAAGCUGGGCUAGACCAUGAAUAAACAAUUUGAAAAAAAAAAAAAAAAACACAGAUCAGAGGUGCUAGCAAAAAGAAAAGAGGAUUCUUUGACUGCCAGGUCAAAAUACUUUUCUUGCUGUUACAUCAAAAUAUCUAGAUGUCAGGACAUCUCAUCCUGCUGCAGAGCACCAGCCUUCCCCAUUAGGAACAGGAUCAGAGGAAAUCCAGUGAUUCAGCGCAGACUCCUGUGAGAAAGCUAGGUGUUCUCAGCCAGUCACGGGGAAAGAAAUUCCUCAUUUUGUAUGUUUUCCUGCCAGCUUGACAAGGAAAAAUUUGUUAGUUAUUCCACCUUGCAAAUGCUUGUUCCAGUUAGUUGAUUGUGCAAGGACCAAGGAAUUUCUCCCAUUUUCAUGGCAGAACAUUCAAAAGCAGCAGUCUGAAGAAAGUUGUGGUGCUGUUUCCUAGCAGCAAGUGAUGAAUCUGCAACAGAAGCACUUGCUUAAUAUGCCACAUAUCAUGGGUAAGCUUCUACAUCUUGUCUAGUCUGCUGGUUUAUUCUUAGCACUCAGUUACACUUAGACACAGCAUCCAACCAUUGUUAGCAAAGCUAUUUUGAACUCAGUGGUCUGUAUCCCGUUAUAAAACUGGCAAUGGAAGAAUGGGCCCUAUAUCAUACAGUGGGAAAAACGACUCUCGAGUCUCUCCCCAGUCUGAUGUCAUGCUAAAGGAAGGUGUUUACACCAAUGAUACUGAAGCUGCUCUGCUGGUCCCUAACAGAUUCAACAGGACUGCUUUGAUGUUGGUACUGCUGCUGUGAUGACUGCAGAAACAGCCACUGCACAACCGCAGUGGGUUUACGUAUGUGAUUUCUCCUUCCUCUCCCAGUUGCAGUGUUGGAAAUAUAUGUAGGAUGUGGUGUAAGAAUAAUUAUAAUUUCUUAACAAGCUAUGGAUUUGGAGGGGGGAAGCAGUUCAGCAACUACUUCCAGAUGUCCCUCCCCAUCCAGACGAGCAGGAAUUCCCAGUAGGCAAAUGGACAGGUGUAACAACUUGACUCUCUUAAGAGGAAACAGGUGUGAAUGACAGAUGACCAAGCUAAAAAGCUUCCUCGAGUUACUCCAAAAUAUUUGGAUCUGAAGGGAUCGGUGUAUGCCUUACUUAGUCACUUCAAGCCCCCUGGAUGAACUGCAGAAGCAGGCUAAAAUAGUCACUGGGUUUGAAACCAGAAUUCUUUGCCUAAACCAGAUGGCAGAAGGAAUUGCCCCUACAGUAGGUAGCACAUAAAAGAUGAAGAGAGUAAGAAGUCUGAGACAGCAUGAUAUAGACACUGCCAUGGUUCUACACCUUCAGUUCAGCUCUGAACAAGACCACCUUCCUGCCAUGCUGCUAGUCCUACCUCCACAGGUGGUCUACAACACCCAUUUUCCAAGACUUUCUGAAACUAGGGAGCAACCACAAAUACCUGGCUGACUCCGUCUGGGGCAGGUAAGGGUCUGGCAGGGCUGCUGGCAGGCUGGCGCAAAUAAACUUUGAUUUAAAAACAGAACUGACGCAGAUCUCCAAGGCUAGCAUGGCCGUGACUAACCCCUCCGGGCUGGCAGUCGCUCCUGAGGGCGGUACAGCCGUACUGCUGGGUGCUGCCCGGGGCUGGGGACCAGGGCAGGUGCUGGGGAGCGCUGCGUGCAUCGCUGCGCCCGAGGCGCGGCCAGCACACGACCUUGGGUGAGACACACAAGGCAGCCGGGCACCGACUGACCGCCGGGUGCCGGUCACGGGGCAGCGGCCGGCAGCUCGGGCUGCUCACGGCCCGGUUGUUUUUUUGCGAGUGCCUCGCAAAAGGGUCCCUGAGGGGGUUCCGUUCCGCCGGGGCGCCCCAGGGGCUCAGCCCGGGCAGAGUUAUGUUGACUUGAGGACGGCGGGGCGCUUCCCCUCCCCAGAGCACACCCGGGCAGCCGCUCCAGCGCCUCAGAGCCGCCCGCCGCGGGCCCGCGUCCCCUGCCCGGCCUCCCCCACCCCCGGCCCGCUGCAGCCGGG